rnacentral:lncRNA from 1 species
GGUCAUGACUAAUGUGCCAGAGAUCCGUCCCUCCACUGGAGCUGGAAUGGAAGCCCAUGAGGAUAAAAAGGAUUUGUUUAUUUUCUUCAUUUCUCUGUUUCCAGUGCCCUGUGCACUGUUGGCACACAGUAACUCCUUAAUAAAUAUAGAUUGAAUGAAC